rnacentral:rRNA from 1 species
CCCUUAGACGUUCUGGGCCGCACGCGCGCUACACUGACCAGUGCAACAAGCAUCCGUCCUUGGCCGACAGGCUCGGGCAAUCUUUGAACGCUGGUCGUGAUGGGGAUAGACUUUUGCAAUUUUUGGUCUUCAACGAGGAAUUCCUAGUAAACGCAAGUCAUCAACUUGCAUUGAUUACGUCCCUGCCCUUUGUACACACCGCCCGUCGCACCUACCGAUUGAAUGGUCCGGUGAAGCCUCCGGAUUGGCGCGCACCUCGGUGCCGCCGAGAAGUUGGCUAAACCUUACCAUUUAGAGGAAGGUGAGNUCGUAACA